rnacentral:lncRNA from 1 species
CUUAUAGGGUAGAUUGGUAAAUUGUUGCAGGGGAGGUUGCUGGGCUCUGGCCAGGGUCACAGAACUGGGUGGUGACAGGCUGGGAAGAGGUCCAAGCAGCUGACCUCCCCCUCUAGCUCUCUCAGUUCUUGACAACAUCCUUGCUGUUGAACACUGCUUCCUGAAGCUGUCUUUAAAACAAACCCAUUUCCUAGAGCCAAAGCGUCUUGGCCUGCUUUCACUGUACAGUGUCACACUUGACAUUGUCCUGUUGCAGGGGACUCCCACGUGCCGUGGGGAAGGAGGAUUAGAAAAGCAACCCAGAUAGCUAAGCUCCUCUCCGCAGAGGCCCAACUAGCCAUCUGAUUAAAGCAUGCUUCCUUUAUUUUCCCUUUCCUUUAUUUUAUUUUAUCUUUUUCCUUUUUCUUUUUUUUUUCCCGGUAACCUCAUUAUCCAUGCAUCUAGAUGAGAAAUUAAGCUUAGCAAAGACUAAUUUGCUUGACUAUAGUCUGACUUCCAGAAAAUCUGUGAGGCAUGCUGCAACCAUGGGAGAAAAAAAAGGAAAAUGAAAGUGUCUAAACAGGAAUCCAGUCCCCAGCAGGCUUUGGGCAGGAGCCUGAGUUGCUGCUGUGAUGCUGUGUGGAGGAGGAGGAGGCAAUGUAACAAGCAUGACGCACUGCAGGGCUGGUAUAGACUGAUUUUUAUUUCCUGAUCUUGGUCACCAGACAUGGGUUGAGUUCCUCUGCUCACAGUGCCAUAAAUACUACCAGGAGAUUGUUUUGUUCCUUUAGAUGAGGGCAUAGAG